UACGCCUACGGGGCGCAGCAGUAGGGAAUCUUCCACAAUGGGCGAAAGCCUGAUGGAGCAACGCCGCGUGGGUGAAGAAGGUUUUCGGAUUGUAAACUAUUUUAGACAGGGAAGAAAAAAGACAGUACCUGUAGAAUAAGCUCCGGCUAACUACGUGCCAGCAGCCGCGGUAAUACGUAGGGAGCAAGCGUUAUCCGGAAUUAUUGGGUGUAAAGGGUGCGUAGACGGGACAGCAAGUUAGUUGUGAAAGCCCUCGGCUUAACUGAGGAACUGCAACUAAAACUGUUGUUCUUGAGUGCAGGAGG
rnacentral:rRNA from 1 species